AGGACGAACGCUGGCGGCGCGCUUAACACAUGCAAGUCGAACGGUGAUGUAGCACUUGUGUUACGGAUCAGUGGCGAACGGGUGAGUAACACGUGAGUAACCUGCCCCAGACUCUGGGAUAACUCCGGGAAACCGGUGCUAAUACUGGAUAUGACGCCAAGCCGCAUGGUUAUGGUGUGGAAAGAUUUUUUGGUCUGGGAUGGGCUCGCGGCCUAUCAGCUUGUUGGUGAGGUAGUGGCUUACCAAGGCGACGACGGGUA
rnacentral:rRNA from 1 species